AUGAAGAAGAUUAAGAGUGGAAAGGAGCUAGUGGAAGAAGUAAGGAAGAUUGAGAAGAACAUCAACGCUAUCAAUACUAUCUCUUCCCUCCCUGAGCUGAGUGUUGCCGGGAUAUCCCUUGAGGUGUGUGAGGUUCCAACACCUUCACAUUCAGCUGAGCAAGAUAGCGAGAGUCCAGAGGAAGAGAUACGUCAGAUCCAAGAAGAAAUUCUCGAAGCCAAAGCACAAGAUGAUCCAGAGCUCGAACAACAAAGUGAUCAAGUUGAAGACCCAUCAUCUAUUACUCUUGAAGAAGCAAAAGAAGUUGAUGUGAUUGAAGAUGAAGAACCAGAAACGCAUUUGCCCAUCGUCAUACAGGAGCGUGAUUUAGCAGGUUUAUCCAAUCCUCUUUAUGACAUGCUUCCUUAUGAGAUCUUUGCUGCUACUUUCCAUUGUGUUAUACCAUCAAUUAAGCUAGACUUGAAAAAUUAUUUGCUUGGACAUGAUCAUACUUAUUUUCCUUAUGCUAGUCCUAUGCUUAAUGAAACAUAUUAUUCCCGUCCUAGUCUUGAGCUUAAUGAUAAAUUUCAUCCUCAUGUUAGUCUCGACCUUGCUGAUUUCUACCAUCCUAAACAUGUGAUUUAUAGCUAUGCUUAUGUAAUUGGAUAUUCGAUUGAUGACUUGGAGGGUAUUACCCCUACCACUUGCAUUGUCUCUUUUGUUGAGAGUGCUUUCAGGUUUUUGCUUGUGCGCGAUCCAUUACAUGCUGACCAGGUUUGA
rnacentral:rRNA from 1 species